rnacentral:rRNA from 1 species
UUGAGGUUGUGGCUGGCUUCAACGAACGAAGCAUGUGCACGCCUCAAUUUACCAUCCACAUUUCUUGUACCUCUGUGCACGUCGCGUGGGUCAUGUUACCUGUCUGAAAUAAUGACAGGCAACUUUGCCCAUGUGUCUUUUAAACACACGCAUCUGUUUUUUGUUUCAAAGAACGUCAAUAGCUUUGUGCUUUAUUGCAUGCACACAAAUACAACUUUCAGCAACGGAUCUCUUGGCUCUCGCAUCGAUGAAGAACGCAGCGAAAUGCGAUAAGUAAUGUGAAUUGCAGAAUUCAGUGAAUCAUCGAAUCUUUGAACGCACCUUGCACUCCUUGGUAUUCCGAGGAGUAUGCCUGUUUGAGUGUCAUGGUACUUCUCAAAACCUGUUCCUCCUUUCUUUUCGGAGAGGGCGGACGGGUUUGGACUUGGAGGUUUUGUCGGAACCUGUAGUCCGACUCCUCUGAAUUGCAUUAGUUUGAACUGGUGUGGUUGUUUUUAUUCUCAUCAAGUGUGACUCAAUGUGAUAGUUCAUUUGCGUUGUUUCACAUUGGUGAGUCUCUUCAUCAGUUUCAAGCUUCAAAGUGUCCCUUCGGGACUGACUUUGGACAUCUGACCUCAGAUCAGGUAGGACUACCCGCUGAACUUA